rnacentral:tRNA from 1 species
GGAUAGAUGGCAGAGUCUGGUUGAAUGCACCGAGCUUGAAACUCGGCACGGGGUAUUCCUCGUCGAGGGUUCGAAUCCCCCUCUAUCCG